rnacentral:lncRNA from 1 species
GAAAGUAUGAUAGUCAGAAUUGGAGGGAAAAUGUAUUAUUUAUUAAUGUAGGUAAGCAACUGAGCCCGUUUCGUGACACAAGACCUUUAUAUAUAGUAAUACUCAUUAAAUGCUAACCCUCAUGCUUAGUUUCACUUCCUAUUCUCCAGCUGCUCCAACUUAAUAAUGGGUGAAGUGAAUAAAUACAUACAUAGUUAAUAUUAUUAUAGGAUUCAGAGGUAUUUGCUCACAAUUCCAAGUCAUGAAUAUUUCAUCGAGUCCAGUUGAAGUCCAAAUGACUUUUAAGCCCCAUGUCUUUGCUUUCGAGUCCAAGUCAAGUCUCUAAUUUUUAAUGGUGAGGUCAAGCCGUAUCGCAAGUUUCGAAUCCAAGUACCCACCUAUGGAUAUCUUCAUAAAAUAUGUAAGAGUUAUGGAAUAAGGAGUGUUUAAAUGAGUAUGCACAUUUAGAAGUAAUUAAAGAAGCCUUAUCAAGUA